UAUGUGAUCGUCUCUCGCAUAUCAAUAAGCGGAGGAAAAGAAACUAACAAGGAUUCCCCUAGUAACGGCGAGUGAAGCGGGAAGAGCUCAAAUUUGAAAUCUUAAAGGGUUUCCCUUUACGAAUUGUAGUUUAAAGAAGUGUUUUCUGUUGAGGUUUUGGUAAAAGUUCUUUGGAAUAGGACAUCAUAGAGGGUGAGAAUCCCGUAUUUGACCUUUACUUUCAACUUUGUGAUACACUUUCAAAGAGUCGGAUUGUUUGGGAAUGCAGUCCAAAAUGGGUGGUAAAUUUCAUCUAAAGCUAAAUAUUGGCGAGAGACCGAUAGCGAACAAGUACCGUGAGGGAAAGAUGAAAAGAACUUUGAAAAGAGAGUUAAACAGUACGUGAAAUUGUCAAAAGGGAAGCGUUUGACACCAGUGUUGUUUUUCUGAAAAUCAAUUAAAGAACUGUUUAUGCUAAGCUGUUUAGACUUUAUCAGCUAUCUGUUUAGUUUUGAGCUUUUCUUUAAUGCACUUUUCAGUUAACAAGUCAACAUCAAUUUCUUUUGCUGUAAAAAAGCUUGAGGAAGGUGGCUUGAGAUUCGUCUUAAGUGUUUAUAGCCUCUUGCCUAUGCAGUCGGAGAGAUUGAGGUCUGCAGCGUAGAUCCUUCGGGGCUAAAUGCAUUUGUGCUAAGUUAUAGCAGUUUUAUAGACAACUUGUUGACUAUGAUUUGUCUUGUAGCUUACUCGCUUAUGUUAUUUUACCUACGCUUAGGAUGUUGAGCGCAUGUCUCUCUCU
rnacentral:rRNA from 1 species